rnacentral:rRNA from 1 species
UACGUAGGGGGCAAGCGUUGUCCGGAAUUAUUGGGCGUAAAGAGCGCGUAGGCGGCCCUGUAAGUCCGCUGUGAAAGUCAAGGGCUCAACCCUUGGAUGCCGGUGGAUACUGCAGGGCUAGAGUCCGGAAGAGGCGAGUGGAAUUCCCGGUGUAGCAGUGAAAUGCGUAGAGAUCGGGAGGAACAUCAGUUGCGAAGGCGGCUCUCUGGACCAGUACUGACGCUGAGGCACGAAAGCGUGGGGAGCAAACAGG